rnacentral:rRNA from 1 species
GUGGGGAAUUGUUCGCAAUGGGCGCAAGCCUGACGACGCAACGCCGCGUGGAGGACGAAGAUCUUCGGGUCGUAAACUCCUGUCGAGUGGGAAAAACGCUUCGGGGCCUAAUAUGCUCCGGAAUUGAUGGUACCGCUAAAGGAAGCCCCGGCUAACUCCGUGCCAGCAGCCGCGGUAAUACGGGGGGGGCAAGCGUUGUUCGGAAUUACUGGGCGUAAAGGGCUCGUAGGCGGCCAACUAAGUCGGAUGUGAAAUCCCCAGGCUCAACCUGGGAACUGCAUCCGAUACUGGAUGGCUUGAAUCCGGGAGAGGGAUGCAGAAUUCCAGGUGUAGCGGUGAAAUGCGUAGAUAUCUGGAGGAAUACCGGUGGCGAAGGCGGCAUCCUGGACCGGCAUUGACGCUGAGGAGCGAAAGCUAGGGGAGCAAACGGGAUUAGAAACCCCAGUAGUCC